AGUGAACGCUGGCGGUAGGCCUAACACAUGCAAGUCGAACGGCAACACAGUAAGAGCUUGCUCUUACGGGUGGCGCGUGGCGGACGGGUGAGGAAUACAUCGGAAUCUACUUUUUCGUGGGGGAUAACGUAGGGAUACUUACGCUAACACCGCAUACGACCUACGGGUGAAAGCAGGGGAUCUUCGCACCUUGCGCGAUCGAAUGAGCCGAUGUCGGAUUAGCUAGUUGGCGGGGUAAAGGCCCACCAAGGCGACGAUCCGUAGCUGGUCUGAGAGGAUGAUCAGCCACACUGGAACUGAGACACGGUCCAGACUCCUACGGGAGGCAGCAGUGGGGAAUAUUGGACAAUGGGCGCAAGCCUGAUCCAGCCAUACCGCGUGGGUGAAGAAGGCCUUCGGGUUGUAAAGCCCUUUUGUUGGGAAAGAAAAGCAGCAGGUUAAUACCCCGCUGUUCUGACGGUACCCAAAGAAUAAGCACCGGCUAACUUCGUG
rnacentral:rRNA from 1 species